AGGGGCCUACAGGUGGUUCGUAUGGCUCCCGAGGAAGAGAAGAUGACUCGCCGUUCUCCUCUAGAUUUCCCAAUUGUAAGUCAAACCUUCGUUUCUUUCUUCUUAUGGUCUUCCUGGAAUUGCCUGUAUCACCUACAAGGAUUUCGAAAUUUGUGUUAAACUGUUAACAUGAAUAAUGAGGUGUGGAGUUUUUAGGUAAAAAAUUUUAGGUUAAUUCUGAAUGAAGCUGGAUUAUAGAAUGUGAUGAAACUUUGUACUGAGAUGAGAAAGUGGCAAAUUUGGCUUCCGCAGUAUUGGAUUAGACGAGUAAGGAUUAAUUUCUAUUAGGUAGGUUGAUUUUGGUCUUGUUCGUUUGAGUUAGCUGGAGUUGGUUCUCUAGUAGAAUUGUAUAUCUUGAGUGCCAAAUAUGGAACAGAAGGUGUUGAAGUUACAAUUUUUAGGUUUCUCAACUGGCUGGAAUAAUAUCAAAGGCAUAAUAAACUUUUAGCUAGAGAUUGUUAUCCUUAGCUUCUCCUGCAGCAGAUUGAUACCUCCUUCAAGAUUGUCACUCUAUUAACCCAGAAAAAAUUUUUGCUCAAACUGUUAGGCUGCAUUUGGAUUGAGUAAUUUGACAAAGGAUCUAAAAUCCUCUCAAAUCCCUCCAGUUGUUUAGAUUAGUUUAUAGGUAUUCAGAUUUGUUACUCACUAAUUACUCUAGUGUUUAAAAUGUACUUAGAUCAUUGGUAAAUUGUAAGCCCAAAUGCCUCUUAAGCAAUCCAAACAAUUAGAGCAAUUUGAUAGGUUUCAAAUACUUUGUCAAAUCCCUUAAUCCAAACGAAGCGAUAGGGAAUUUGUAGUAGUACUGCAUUUGGUACAUUGUUGAUUUCAGCUUAUUAUUGCUGAAUACAAAGAUUGACCGAUCACGCAUCUCACCCUUUUUAAAGCAACUUGACAUUCUUCAUCUAUAAAUCUUACGAGUGUUGGAAAAUAUCCAUAUGUUGGUCAUCUCUUUCUUUUUACUGGAUUUAAUACUGUCUAUAUAGUCGAUAACCUGUUAUAAAUAUUUUCAAAACUCAUUUUCAUCCAUCCCAUCACUUGUUCUUGUUGAUGCAAGCUUGUGCAUGGGUUGAUGUAUCCGCAGACUCAGAUGUGUGUCUGCCCACUAGGCUGUAGAUCACGAGAAAAUUUGGUUUCUAUAUAUGGAACUUCAAACCUCUCUCUCCCCCAUUUUAUCCCCCCCUCUCUCUCUAAAACAUGUAUUCUGCAGGCCUUUCAGCUAGUAGAAAUUUAUUUCUCAUCUAAUUCAAAAUUUGUGUUAGGAAUGGGAACGGCCAAAGCCUGGACGCAGGCCAGACAUCUUUCCCCAAUUCAGCCCUAUGAAAACUCCGUUGCCACCCCCAUUACCAGCUGAUCCUCCUGAAGAAGAUGAAGAGGAAGAAGAAGAAAAGAAAGAAGAGGAGGAGGAAGAUCCAGAGAAAGAGGACGACCCAGAGAAGCAAGAUCAAUAAUUUCAAGUGUUCUGAAGGGAGAAUUGCUUUAAUGUUUGAAUAGGCUUAUUUGCAAGGGAUGGGCAUUUCGUUUGGAGUGUUUUUAAGGGGAGAGAUGUUGUAGUU
rnacentral:lncRNA from 1 species